rnacentral:snoRNA from 1 species
CCCCUCUCAGGAUCACAUCUGGAGAGUUUCCAGUCCUCUACCAGUCUCGACUAUGGGAGGGAGAGCCAGGCAGAGGCCUAUCCAUUCCAUUCCUAGCUUGGCCAGUGGCUAGCGAGUGGAUGGCAAUCGGCUACGAGU